UACGUAGGGUGCGAGCGUUAAUCGGGAUUACUGGGCGUAAAGCGUGCGCAGGCGGUUUUGUAAGUCAGAUGUGAAAUCCCCGGGCUUAACCUGGGAACUGCGUUUGAAACUACAAGGCUAGAGUGUGGCAGAGGGGGGUGGAAUUCCACGUGUAGCAGUGAAAUGCGUAGAGAUGUGGAGGAACACCGAUGGCGAAGGCAGCCCCCUGGGUUAACACUGACGCUCAGGCACGAAAGCGUGGGGAGCAAACAGG
rnacentral:rRNA from 1 species